AAUAUGACCCCAUACAUUAUAACCUAAUUGUGCACAUAAAACUUCCAGUAAUAACUGUGGUUCAGGUGUUUGGAACCAUUGUUUGAGGUGUUUUAAAUGUUGAGUCUAACAUAAAAGAACAUGAAGGAAAAUUAAUACUUAUUUUGUGACAAUUUUUGAAGCUCAGAAGCUGUUUAAUCAGAUGUGUGACCUUACUUGACCUGUAAUUAUGAUGUGUUUCAAUGCCGACCACAAGAGCACAGCUUUGCCGUUUGAGUUUUAAAUAUACAUAGAUAUAUAUAUAUAUAUAUAUAUAUAUAUAUAUAUAUAUAUUCUUCACACAGACAAAAAACAUAAAAACUGACACAUUAGAGAGUUUUAAGGGAUUCAAAAAGUCACUCAAAUUUAUUACUUUUUGUUUCAAAACCUCAUGUGAAUAAAGCUAACUCAAGCCCCAAAAUUCUUCCUCUCGUCCAAUGAAACUUCCAGUCAUUCUUUACAGUGAAUGCUUCUUCUGUAGAGCUGGUGGGGCUGUGAGAAGAGACAGGGAACGUGUGAUUACACUGUAUGGAGCCGGUGAGGGGAGUGUGUCAAUGCCACACAAUGUGCCUGCAGAGAUUGAUGUUUUUGUCAUUCACCUGCUUCAAAAGCUGUUAGCCGGCUGAUGCAAAUCGAGAAACCUAGCAAGGCAGGCUCACAAACAAAAGAGGGAGAACCUCACUGCUCCUCUUUGCACAUGUGUUUUGGAGGAAUUAUCUGAGGUUUCUGUGGUGACGCACACUGAGCUCAAAUGAACACUGAGUCUUGCGCCUGGAUGUGGUGAGUGGAAAUGGGGCAUGCAGCCAUGAGCUGGGAGGAGAGAAGGCAGCCGAGGUGGCACGCCGACUGGAGGAUUGCCAGGCACUCUCAAGCAGGGAGCCAAAUCCAUCAAUGUGCCAAUGGAAAUGGAAAGAGUCUGCAAUCAAAUGUAAGGAGCAUCCUCUUUGUGAAACUUCCAAUAAUAUAGUGGCUAAUCGUACUUGUAUCAUAUAAUGCUCUACUUGCUUGUCCUGAAGGAAAAACUGUGUUAAUACUAAUAAAAGACUUUGCUGGUAACACAGGAUAUCCUAAAUAUUGUUUGUGAACCCUCUUCACAUUGGUCAGGUUUGUUGGCUAAGCUUGUCUCCACAAGAAGAGAUCAAGACAUAAAAAAGAGGUAAAAGGCAAGUUAGCUCACCAGCUAAGAUAUCCAUUAGCUAAUAGCAACCGCACUUAGCAAACAACUCUCCCUGAAUUCAACAACCUGAACCGCCAAAAAUACUUUUUUAACUCCAACUUGCAAGUUUAACCAUCAAGCCCAGUAAAGACAGCAAUAAAAAAAUAAGGCUUAGCAAACAAAAAAAUGUAGUAAAGCUAAAUAGCUAGCAGGCCCCAAUACUGCCUGUUAGCAAGAAGCAACUCAGUAAAUGGAGCAACUCAAAGAAUGCAAAUAAAUGUAUUUAUUUAUUUUUUCUUUUUUAUAAUCCUAAAUAGUAUUUAGAUUAACAUAUAAUAACCAAAGUCAUGGCAGAUUAUUAAAGAUGUAACAAGUCUGAUCAAGUGUAAUAUUGCUUCUAUAGAUUUAAUCAGAAAGGAUGUGAUGAAAAUGAUGGUUAAUAAGACAAUGGUUGCAAGUGGAACUAGGAGCACACACUUUUUUUUUUUACAAAGGUAUUUUAUACUGUCAAAUAUAAACGUUCAGAAGCAGACUGGAUCACUGCACUUCAUAUAUAUAAGAACGUUUUCCUUUGUUUUUUUUUUCAAAAUUGUAUCUGAAGUUCAUUAAAUAUGUUGCAACUUUUUGGAAGUCUGACAAGAAUUUAAAGUAAUCCUGGUUGAACUGUUAUCUUUCAGUUUUAUGGCAAAGAUGUCAAGCUCUUGUCACAUCACUUUAUUUAAAUGUUCUGCUGUCCUGAGAUCUGGCUUGACUAUUCAAUUAACAAAAACUAAAUUAAAAACAUAUGCUGUGAUUUUUAAUCCUUUAAUUAAAGGAUGGUUACGAUUAUUUUUUUAGGGAGCAAUACUCCCUUUGUUUGGUAGAGUUCCCUGUGUCUCAGUAACAUUUGGCAAAAAUUAAGUUUUGCCACUCUAAAUUAAAAAAAAGAGAAAUAAUAAUAAAUCAAAUUAAAAACCCUCAAAAUGUGUAGUCCUGAGUGUCCGUUGGUGGAUUUUGGGUUUGAAUCUGUUUCAACUCCUAACAAGAUAAUAGCUCUGGUUAGCUGUUACAGCAGAGCGCUGAAUUCAUCUCUUAUCUUGAUCAUCCCACAACUCCCUCAGGGUGCUGGCUAAUUAACCUAAUAAAAACACUAACCAUUUUCCUAAGGUAAAUUAAAUUGACUCGUCAAUGGUGUACAUCAAUACACAUAAGGAGCAUUAGUACUUUGUGGGAGGACCAUUAUAGGUACAGAGAAGGAAGUAGAAUAUGAGCCAUAGUAAAAAAAUGAUUUGCCGUCAAUAAUAUAUAGCAAUUUAAAUGUUUUGUGCAUAUAUAUUUUUCCUAACCAUGUUCAUUUUAAGUUAUAAAUGACACUUAAUGUUCUUGAGAUUUUAGUUUUGCUUUUUGAGCAGGGGCACAUACAUUUUUUUUAUGGCACUGGAAGGUUCCACUCUGUCGUUUUUUAGUAUUUAGGGAUUAUAAAUGGAAUCUGGACACAACCCAAGUAAACAUUAUUGCUUAUUACCGGGGUUUUUUUUUGUUCAUUUUGUUGUUGUCAGUUAUUCCUGAGGUGUUGUUCUCUGAGAAAUUAUUAGUUCAAAGAUGAAUUUAAGACACAACAAUGAAGUGAACAUAGCCUAAUGCUGUGCUAAUAUUAAAUCUAUUCUCAAUCCGAAUGUUCUCCCAGUUUGGCGUUUUUGUUCUGCUUCAAGUUCAAUAUAAGUCCUUUCAUAUUAAAGACCAGCUCAGAUAAAAUUUUGUAGGGAAAAAUUAUCUGUUGACAUGAAGAACAUUGAUCUAAAAAUUGCAUUUCUGAGUAUUUCUUUGUUCAAAUUGUUUUAAACUAGAAGCAGAAAAAAAUGUGUUUGAAAAAGAUUGAAUUUGUUACAUAGAACAUUUGCUGGGUGGGCCACAAAAUUCUUGCUUUGCUCCAUUUUGAUGUAGCCACAACUAGAUCCACAUAAGGUCUUCAUUUUCCUCAUUUGACCUGGUACCUGGCUCAAAACUAUACGACUGGAUAUCUUCAUUAUUUCUUGCACCGAUAGAUCAAAAGAUGAUCGGAGUGGGACUUUAAAGACCUCGUGUGGUGAAAAUCAGGAUUUUUCUUAAAC